CCUACGGGCGGCUGCAGUGAGGAAUAUUGGUCAAUGGACGAGAGUCUGAACCAGCCAAGUAGCGUGAAGGAUGACUGCCCUAUGGGUUGUAAACUUCUUUUAUAUGGGAAUAAAACGUUCCACGUGUGGGAUUUUGUAUGUACCAUAUGAAUAAGGAUCGGCUAACUCCGUGCCAGCAGCCGCGGUAAUACGGAGGAUCCGAGCGUUAUCCGGAUUUAUUGGGUUUAAAGGGAGCGUAGGUGGAUUGUUAGUCAGUUGUGAAAGUUUGCGGCUCAACCGUAAAAUUGCAGUUGAAACUGGCAGUCUUGAGUACAGUAGAGGUGGGCGGAAUUCGUGGUGUAGCGGUGAAAUGCUUAGAUAUCACGAAGAACUCCGAUUGCGAAGGCAGUUCACUGGACUGCAACUGACACUGAGGCUCGAAAGUGUGGGUAUCAAACAGGAUUAGAUACCCUUGUAGUC
rnacentral:rRNA from 1 species